rnacentral:rRNA from 1 species
ACGAGGUUUGGUCAGUUUGCGGUGGUGCUUGCAUCACCAAUUACCCAUUAAACCGAGUGGCGGACGGGUGAGUAACACGUGGGUAACCUGCCCUUCAGCAGGGGAUAACAUUUGGAAACAGAUGCUAAUACCGUAUAACCACGGAGACCGCAUGGUCUCCGGGUAAAAGAUGGCGCAAGCUAUCACUGAAGGAUGGACCCGCGGCGUAUUAGCCAGUUGGUGGGGUAACGGCCUACCAAAGCGAUGAUACGUAGCCGACCUGAGAGGGUAAUCGGCCACAUUGGGACUGAGACACGGCCCAAACUCCUACGGGAGGCAGCAGUAGGGAAUCUUCCACAAUGGACGCAAGUCUGAUGGAGCAACGCCGCGUGAGUGAAGAAGGCUUUCGGGUCGUAAAACUCUGUUAUUGAAGAAGAACGUGUGUGACAGUAACUGGUCAUGCAGUGACGGUAUUCAAUCAGAAAGUCACGGCUAACUACGUGCCAGCAGCCGCGGUAAUACGUAGGUGGCAAGCGUUGUCCGGAUUUAUUGGGCGUAAAGCGAGUGCAGGCGGUCUUUUGAGUCUGAUGUGAAAGCCUUCGGCUUAACCGAAGAAGGGCAUCGGAAACUGGGAGACUUGAGUGCAGAAGAGGAGAGUGGAACUCCAUGUGUAGCGGUGAAAUGCGUAGAUAUAUGGAAGAACACCAGUGGCGAAGGCGGCUCUCUGGUCUGUAACUGACGCUGAGGCUCGAAAGCGUGGGUAGCAAA